rnacentral:rRNA from 1 species
UACAGAGGGGGCAAGCGUUAUUCGGAAUUAUUGGGCGUAAAGGGCGCGUAGGCGGCCCUUCAAGUGACGGGUGAAAGCCCUCGGCUUAACCGAGGAACUGCCUGUCAGACUGGAUGGCUUGAGACCGGGAGAGGUGAGUGGAAUUCCCAGUGUAGCGGUGAAAUGCGUAGAUAUUGGGAGGAACACCAGUGGCGAAGGCGGCUCACUGGACCGGAACUGACGCUGAGGCGCGAAAGCGUGGGGAGCAAACAGG